CUCUUUUGGACCUUUUUUUUUUUUUUGGACCGGGACGCUAGGACAGCGACGUGUCUUCACGUCUGGCUGUAAUCCUUGGUAAGCCAACAGAUGGCAAUGCCUAGAGCAUGGCAUCUUGGUUCGAGUCCCCAGAAAGAGACUUGAGGCAAGGAGCGAAGUGCACAGUGGGCUCUGGUGGCCAGGAAAAGCCCCAGGCAUAGAGAUGCAGGUGCUGUCAGCUGAGCUGGGCUCCCGUGGUCCACACCAGGGCGAUGUGGGUGGGGAACUGGCAGCAUCGGCAGCAAUGGCAGAGCCACAUGAUGGAAAGACUGGGACUCUGACAGACUGCAUGGAGCAGAGCCACCCCAUCUCAACCUGGACUGCUCACCUUGGACUGUAGCAAACGCAUGUUGUUGAGAGAGAAGAUGGAAGCAAGAGAGAAGUAGAGAGCUCUGCCUUCUGUCUGCCACCUCUCCAGUCAUCACCAUCACCAAAUGGGUCCAGCUCUGCCAUGUUCAUCAACUUCUUAUGCCCUCCUAGUUUGCUAAAGAGCUGUCUGGAAGAGAGUAUUUAAUCCUUGGCCAAGAGUAUUUAGAGGCCAUGGCAUGGGUGUCUUGAGAUGCAAUACUUUGAUAUUUACUUUGAUCUUUUGAGAACACAGAAAAAUCCUCCUUGGCACAUUGCCUGUGUGUAUGCAAACCCAUCAAAGGCGUCCUUCUCCUAAGAUUUUAUUAGAAUGAUUCAGCCCCACUAGAGCUAUUCUGCUCACCUUCCAUGGGCCAUCCUAUCCCAUGUAGACAGCCACCAUCAUGCUAAGCAGGCACUGGAGAGGGGGAGAGAGAAGGAGAAACCAUUCCAGGUAGUAGGCACAACCAACAAGGUCAUUUUGUAAAGAGUUAUUUUAAUGUAUUACCUACUUUAAAAUUUUUUACCAUAGUAAAAAAUAAGUAUCUGUAAACCCAUUGCCAUCGAGUCAAUUCCAACUUAAAGAGACCCUCUGACUGGGUAGAACUGCCCCACUGGGUUUCCAAGGCUGUAAAUCUUUACGGAAGCAGACUGCUACAUCUUCUCCCACAAAGUGGCUGGUGGGUUUGAACCACCGACCUUUGGGUUAGCAGCCAAGCACUUAACCACUGCGCCGCCAGGGCUCACUAUCUAUCUAUCUGUCUAUCUCAAAACAUUUGCCAUUUCAACCUUUUUUUCCCUGUACAAUUUAGUGACAUUAAUUAAGCUCACCAUGUUCAACCAUCACCGAUACUUGUUAUCAAAUUUUUUUUCAUCACCCUUGGCACAAAUUCAGUGCCCCUUAAGCAAUAAUCCCCCUAUUCCCUCUCCUGCCUUCCCCUGGUAACCUCUAAUAAAUUUUGAUCUUUAUGUAUUUGCCCAUUCUAGAUAUUUUAUAUAAGUGGGAUCACACAUAUCUGUCCUUUUGUGUCUGACUUAUUCACUCGACAUAAUGUUUUCAAGGCUCGUCCAUGUCGUAGCAUGUGUUAGAACCUCAUUUCUGUUUGUGGUUAAAUACUAUUCCUUUGUGUGGCUAUACCACAUUGUGUUUAUCCAUUCAUCCGUUGACGAACACUUGGGUCAUUUCCACCUUUUGGCUAUUGUAAGUAAUGGCACAGUGAACGCUGAUGUACAUCUGUCUGUUUGAGUCCCUGCUUUCAAGUCUUUGGGCUGUAUACCUAAGAGUGGGAUUGCUGGGUCAUAGAAUAUGUUUAACUUUUUGAGGAACUAUCAAAUUGUUUUCCACAGCAGCUCCACCAUGUUACAACCCCACCAACACUGGCAGCGUUACCUAAUUUUAUGCAUGUGGAAAAUAUCCUCAAUUAGGAGGAAGGGUGGAGCUUGACAAAACAGGAAUAAGGAUAACAAUAAAUACGAAAUAUUUCCACGGCCCUCACUAUGGUACUUUAUGUUUGUUAACUCAUGAGUUAGAUAUGGUCGCUAUUCUGUUUUACAGAUGAGGAAACCAAGGCCCAGAGAGAUGAAUGCCUUGCCCAAGGUCACACAGCUAGAAAUUGCAGAGUCAGGAUUCAAACUCAGAAUCUAUGGGCCCACUGUCCAUUCUUUUAACUGCUACGAUGUAGCUGCCCCAAUUCUAUGAUUGCCAUAAUAAUAUUACUGAUCAUUCUAACAAUGGCACUAAUAGCCAUUGUCAUGGUUAUUCAAUACCAAUCACUAUUAAUUUUUUGUGAUAGCAGUCCAACACUGCCGCAUUUGGAGAGCGUUUAUUUACUAGACACUGGGCCAAGAGCCUCUCUAAGGCUCUUCUAACAAGCCUGGAGGGUGGUGGUCUUCUCCCCAUUCUUCAGAUGGGACUGGGACCUUGCCCAAGGCACACAGCCAAUUGUGGACCCUGCACCUGGCCUCAGAGCAAGCCCUUGGGCUACAUCGGUCCACAUCUCGCUUGACCACGAAGCAAGCGAGACUGUGCAUUAUCUUCAGUUCUCUGCUUCUCCCAUGCCCACUGCAGCCUCCCUUCCAGUACCCCUGGGCUCUCCUCUGCCACGCAGCAUCUGUCUUUGGAAUCCUAACAGUGAUCAGAGACUGCAGGGCCCAGCUGGUUCCUUCCCAGUAUUCCCAGGUCUCCUCCCACUCAAAACCUUGGAAUCCUCUGGAUCCCUUCAGGACAAAAUCCAAUGCAUACUAAAGAACUACUUGGGUCCUCAAUCAAAGCUGCAGUUGGGGAGGCAACAAAUGUACUGAACACCUACUGUGUGUCAGGCGCUGUUCUGGGCCUGGGGAUGCAGCUUUGAGCAAAACCAACUCGAGUCCCUGUCCUCUAGGAGCUAACAUUCUAAUGGGGCAGAAGGCCAGGAAACCAGGCCAUGGGUAAAUUUACAAAGGUUAUUUCAGAUACCACAAAACAGUAGAUGAUAAAAUGGGAAAGUAUGACUGAAAAUGAAAGGAGUGGAGAAGGUCUCUGAGCAAGGGACUUAGGAGUUCAUAUGAGAGGCCGCCACUUAUAUGAAAUACCUAACCCAGUACCCACCCAGUGCCAUCGAGUCGAUUCUGACUCAUCGCGACCCUAUAGGAUAGAGUAGAACUGCCCCCGUAGAGUUUCCAAGGAGCGCCUGGCGGAUUUGAACUGCCAACCUCUUGUUAGCAGCCAUAGCACUUAACCACUACGCUACCUAUGAAAUACCUAGACGUCGAAACAGAAGGAAGGUUAGAGGUUACCAGGUGUUGGGGGGUAGGGGGUGAUGGGGUGUUAUUGCUUAAUGGGUAUGAGGUUUCUAUUUGAGGUGAUGGAGAAGUUCUGGAAAUAGAUAAUGGUGAAGACUGCACAACUCUGUGAAUGUAAUUAAUGCCAUUAAAUUGUACGCUUAAAAAUAGUUAAAUUGAUAAAUUUUAUGUUAUGUAUUUUGUACCACGAGGGCAGUGUUGCUUCAGUGGUAGGAUUCUUGCCUUCCAUUCAGGAGACCCAGGUUUGAUUCCCAGCCAAUGCACCUCAAGGAUAGCCACCACCCGUCUGUCACGGGAGGCUUGCAUGUUGCUACGAUGGUGAACAGGCUUCAGCAGAGCUUUCAGACUAAGCAGAGUAGGAAGAAAGGCCUGGUGAUCUACUUUUGAAAAGCAGCAAAUAAAAACCCUAUGGGUCCCAGCAGUCCAAAUCUGUUGUGCGUGAGGUCACCACCAGUUGGGAGCCGACUCAGCUGCAGCUAACAACAAUACCACAAUAAAAAAAUAUAUAUUUUUAAGUCAAUGAGGGAGUCAGAAUAGCACAGUGGUUUCAAGAUGAGGCUUCAGAGUCAAGACAGACCUGGGCUCUAGUCUGAUGUUACUACUAAGGUGGUUUUGGCCAGGUUUCCGAGCCUUUCCGAGCCCCAGUGUACUGUCCUCCAUUGUGAAAAGGAGAUAACAACACCUCCUCUUGAAUGGUGCCUGGCUACCAUUACUGAACAUUUUGAUCAAAGAUUCUAUAGAAGAAUCCUGAUCAAAAGGGAUAAAACUCAGCAAAGAAUUUAAAAUUCCCAUGGAAUCCCGACUUUAUGGAGUCAUGGAGGCUGGAUGAACCCCCUAAAUCAUUGCCCUCAGAUAAUCUUUAAACCUUAAACCAAAAAUAUUCCCUGGAGUCUUCUUAAAAUCAAACAAUAGUUUAGCUUAACUACUAAAGAAUGUCUGCCUAGAGUGCUGUGCUAUAAGGGACCAAACUGACAAAAGCAAUUCCAAAAGAUUAGAUAGGAAGCUUAGGGGGCAGUCAGUUUGUUAAUGGGGGAGAAACAAGUCAGAAAAGGAGGGUGAGAAUGUUUGCACAACUCAAAGAAUGUAAUCAGUGUCACUGGAUUGUACUGGUUGAAUUAAUAUAUGUUCUGCAGUGUAUAAUCUCAACAAUAGCAACAAAAGAUAAAGUAAAUUGCAAAAAAAUUAAAAAAUAACACCUCCUUUUUCACCCAUCUGUUGUGAGGCCUAAGUAAAACACCUCUUAAGUAUCCAGCACGGUACCUGUGCAUUAAAACCUGAGGAAUGUUAGCUGUUCUUAUGAAAAAAAGAGGCUGCCAUGUGGAUAUUGGGAAAGAUGCCCAAGGCAGAAGGUACAUCAGGUGCAAAGGCCCUGGGGUGGAACAAGCUUGUGGGUUUUAGGAGCAAGGAAAAGUCGGUGGGGCUGGAGGGUGGGAAACAAGGAGGAUGGUGGGAGAAAUGCGGUCAGAGAGGAAGGAAUGGGUCAGUGUCCACAGAGAACUUUGCUCAGGGCCAAGUUGUCCUCUGAACAACUGAAGAAUAGCUGAGUGGUGACAGCUCCAAGGACUGUGGUAAAGUCUAGCUGCUAUUUUGUU